rnacentral:lncRNA from 1 species
UGUGUUGGCUGGGCCUGUUGAAAUUCUUCCCACAGCCUCAUGAGAGAAAGGGGCACACAGAGAAAGGAACAGGUGUUCAGGAUGUCUAUAUAUUAAAAAAAAGAAACACAUGCAAGAACUUCAUAAGAAAGUGUUUUAAGGAAUUGUAGACACAGGGGCUCAAGAAGGAAAUCUCUUUCUCCUUAAUGAAAAUAAUGUUGGGAAAAGAGAAAUUCAGGAAUUCUCUCCCCUAUGAUUCAUAUCCCCAGAUAUUCUCUGGCAUUCUCACUAUAUAGUUUCCUUUUUUUUUUUUUUUUUUUUUGUACUGUAUUGCUUUUUUUUUUUUUUUUUUUUUUCCCCCAGAAAGAGAAAAUCUUACUGGAGAAAACCAUGCCAAGCCUGAGAACAUUGAGUACCCAAGGCCAAGCUCAACAAGGGCAGAGAACUUUCCGGCAAGAAAUUAUCCCAUCUGUAACAAGGCCAGUCUCAUGGUCUACAGCUCACAAUUGGCAAGAAGAUAGCCCUCAGUAUUGUUCUAGCUUGUAUGGAAUAGAAUGAACAGAGUGAAAAAUCUCCAGGUUAUGAUACAAUCAAGGCCUUCCCUGUCUUCUUCCAUAAACAUCUGCCUCCCUUGUGACUAGCGGCUAUGGGCUACUCAAUUCUCAUCUCAGAAAUAUCGCAUGUAAUCCCCGGAGAGGAUAAAAAAGAUUAAAUGGACAUUCAAGGACCUGCACAUUUGGUCCCAGCAUCCUCCCAGUUCACCCCGUAGGCCACCCACAUGGACUCAUUGUCCUCAUUUUUGUGUUACAACUUUCGCACAUGCUACUUCCUUUGCCUGGAAAGACUUCUUUCUGAUUCUACUUGCCUGGAAAAGCCCAACCAUCCUUUAAGAAUCAGCUCAAAGGUCACCUCCUCUAUGAAGGCUCUCCUGUAUACUCAGUCAUUCACCCACACAUGCUUAUUGAGUACUGUUGUGCUCUUCAGCCAAGACUACCAUGAACCUGCCAGCAAUGAAACAAGGAGGCUCAGAAACUUCGUAUCUACCAGUGUGGCUGGUAUAGACUUUGGCUGCCAUUCACAGGGUCAACUGAGGCAAGCUUCUUGCCACCAUGUCACAUGAUCCCUGGCUGGAGAGGAUAAGUGAAGACCCCAAGUCACACCAGUAAUUCUCAGUCCCAGCUCCUGCUAUUUUUAUGGUCUUUCUUUUCCCCUAACAGCUGGACUGCAGCCACUGCUGGCUCCUACUUUUCAGACUGCUUUUCUUCAGUCUCCUCUUAGGCCUCUAUGACUCUUGAACCAACUCCAGCAUGUGGGUUUUCUUCCCCACACAUCUCAGCAGGUCUCUUGACAAGCUACGUGUCUAACAGUUCAACUCAGUUCUGACAUUAUGUACCUGGAGAUAGUGUGAGAUUCUAUAAGAAAGGGUUCAGUCCUACAGUCAUCUGCUUUCCAACUUCUGAUGCCAGGCACAAACCCGGGUUGUUACCUGUGCUUCUGACUGGCUAUAGAUUGGAGGUUCCAACAAUUCCCUCCUUGGGUUCAAUUAAUUUGCUAGAAUGUCUCAUAGAACUCAGAGAAACAGUUUACUUACUAGAUUAUUAGUUUAUUGUAAGAGUUUAUAACUCAGGAAUGGCCAGAUGGAAGAGAUGCAAGGGCAAGGUAUGUGGGAAGGGGUGCAGAGCUUCCAUGCCCUCUCCAGGUGCACCGCUCUUCCAGCACUGUAUCCGGGGCACGCAAAUGCAAGAGCACCUGACAUAGGGGGUUCCAAGCAGAAUAGGUUCGGCCAUGUGCUGCUGACAAAAUCCAAAGGCAAAAGGAUGAGUGGUGGUGAAAUAAGAAAGGGAGUUAUUUCAGUGAGACCAAUGCUGGGAAGACAGUAGACUAGUGUCUCCAAAAUGCUGAAAAUACUUCUAGGUUUAUAUAAAGAAAAUGUGAAACAAAGGUCAGUGAGUACAUGCAAGUGGGCAAUAAAGGUCAGGUGGAUCAUUGUCUUGGGGUCAAUUACUCUGGGGUCUUGCUGGCUUAGGCUAGUCCUUACUGCUUAAGGGUAGUUUCGGUUCCCAUCACAGGGUGCUUUGCACAAAGGAUCGUUUGCCUGAGUUAAGAGAUAAGCUGGAAAGAAGAACUUAAUCAAUUAGAAAGUACAGAUUGAGGUCAAAAUGGAGGUGAUUGAUGUCCUCUUUCAGCACAUUCAUGUGUACACCCACCUGGAAGCCCUUCAAACCUUAUCAUUUUUGGGUAUUUAUGCAGGCUGCAUUACACAGGCAUGAUUGAUUAAAUCAUUGGCAGUUGGCGACUGAUUCAUCCACCAACCUCUCCCUCCACCCACCCUCCCCAAAGGUUGGGGUUGAGAUGGAAAGUUCUAACACUUAAAUCCUACUGUUGACUCCCCUUGCAACCAGCUCCCAGCCUUAGGUGCUUUCCAAAUGUCCCAUUAACAUCACAAAAGACACAUUGAUUACUCUCAUCACAGAAAAUUUGAAGGGUUUUAGGGGGGUCUGUAUCAGGAACAGAACAAUGACUGAAUAUAUAUUUCUUGUUAUAAAUCACAGUAUCACAGCUUGUCUUUCUGAAAUUGUCACUUAAAUGUUGACAUUCCCCCGAGUGUGCCCUAUAAAUCUGUUCUCACUUUAUCUCUAGACCAGGACUCUUUGUCUGGUUCCAUAAAUGUCUCACGGUCAGCAUGACUGAUCUGAAUUCAUCAUGCUCCCACCCCUGAGAUUAUGUCUUCUUUUGAGAUCCUUGUCUCUAAUAGUGACCUGGACUCACUGUGCUCAUGAUAGUCCAGGCUCCAUUCCAAGCAUCUGACAUGCUUUACCUCAUUUUGCCUGUUUGAGAGCCUAGCACAGGAGGUACAGAUAUUUUCCCCAUUCCACACAUCUGAAGCAUAGAGUGAUUUGGUACCUGGCCCCAGUUUCAGCAGCUAGUUGUGCGUAGAGCUGGGGGUUUGGAUGCGGGUUGUGUAAACCAUAACUCUGCUGCGCUGCUUGCUGUUUGCAUUUCCCUGGGUCAGAGACCUGGCCAUCGUUUUUGAUACCUCCCUCUCCCUUGGCUACCACUUCCAGUCCCAUGACUGUCCCAUCACUCUUACCUCCUGAAUGUCACCACCUAGUCCAAGGUAUUGCUUCCUAAACGGAUACAUGCUAUGGUCUCUUAAUAGCUCUUCCUGCCUCUCUGUUUUUUUGCCUUCCCACCCCAUAUACUUCCUAUGUUGCAAUUAAAGAAAUCUCUCUAAAUCAUAAAGUCAGUUGUGUCACUCCACUAAUUAAAAUGCUCCAAUGGUUUCCUAUUGUCUUCAGGUCAAAGCCUGUUAAAGGAUAGACUGAAGCAUAUUAAAAGUUUUUGAAGUUUAUUUGAGCAAAAAUCCAAGUUGGAAUAGAAUCCCGAACUAGAAGUGAUUAGAAAUGCUCCACUGAUAGGAGUCAGGAGAAAGACUUAACACAGAGCAAGGGCAGAAGCAAAAGAAAGGAAGCUAUUUGACUAUAUCUUUUUUUUUUUUUUAAUUUUUAUUUACUUUUGAUAGUCACACACAGAGAGAGAGAGGCAGAGACACAGGCAGAGGGAGAAGCAGGCUCCAUGCACCAGGAGCCCAACGUGGGAUUCGAUCCCGGGUCUCCAGGAUCGCGCCCUGGGCCAAAGGCAGGCACCAAACCGCUGUGCCACCCAGGGAUCCCUCUAUUUGACUAUAUCUUUAAGCCUAGUUGGCUGUUUGUGAUUGGCUGUCCUUCAUAUCAAUUUCUUAACUUUGAGGCAUUUAUGGGCUUAGAUUUUGGUUUGUUUAUGUCAGGCAUUUAGAGCCACUUCAGUCUAAUGGCCUCCUUUUGAAAAUAAAUUGAACACCCUUAACAUUAAUCAAAAGGCAUGAUCUGGCUCUGUUGUCCCUUCCAGUCUCAUUCUUCUUCCCAGACUCUCCCCUCACCUUGUGCUGUCCACAUGGUCCUGUCUUUCUGAACCUUUUUCCUUUCCUGGUUUUUAGAAAGACACCUGCUGUCUCUUACCUCUUGGCCACGGAACUGUUUGAUCCCUUUGGCUGAAACACUUCUCUUUUGCUUUUCCUGGUUUACUACUACCUAUCUCAUCCCUUUAAGGCUUCAGGAUCUCCUUCCUAAGAUCCUAGAAAGGGAAUUUGGUUCCUUGGCUGUGUUCCAGAAGAGCUGCUGCUUGCUUGCCAUGUUCCUGGUCCUGUUCAGAGCACUUCAAAUGUAUUCACUCAUUUAAUUUCACAACCCUUUGAAGUAGGUACAAUUAGCCUUUAGCAGAUGAAGAAGUGGAAGCACAAAAUGUAUCCAUCACAGUCCAUUAGGAAAACAGAUGCUACCCUAGUAAUUCGCCAGAGGAAAUUCAAUACAGGGCUCCACCACAAGGGUACUGCAAGAGCACAAAAAGCAGAUAGUACGUGGCCAAGGCAACCUGGAAAGGAGCAAGAGUAGGAGGCUGCUGCUGUAAGUCACAAGGAUGGGGGUGGGGUGCAGGAGUGGGAGGUGAUGUCACCAGAGCUGAGGUUCUGGGGCUGCCCAACAGGAAUUGGAAUCCAAAGGGGAAAAAAGGAAUUGGAACCCGGGAAGAGUUGCCGCCAUGCCAGAGCUGCCACCCCAAACAGAGGGAAUGAAACACCCUGACAUUUCUCUCCUCUUUACAGAUUAGGGUCUACCAGUGCUUUUCAUUGGCUGAGCUAACCAGACACUCAGUGGCUGAAAUGUAGUUCUCAGAAGUUAUGGGGAAGAUGGGGAAUGGAUUGAGAGCAAACAGGUAAGAGACAGACCCAGAGAAGUUGUGUGACAUUCACCCAAUGUCACACAACUUCUAGGGAGGGCCCAGAUAAUUUGUCCCGAGUGUGUGAUCCAUAAGGACUGAUACAUAUUGCCUCUCUGAGAGCCUUAGGCAAAGCACUGAAUCCCUAUGCCUUAGAAGUAUGAAAAGCAGGUAAUAGUAGUAUCCUCUGUAUAGUGAUAUAAAAAAGAUUAAAUGAAUUAAAAUGUGUCAAAUACUUUGAACAGUGCCUGGAAUAACAUAUGCAAAGUCAAUUCUGGUCCCCAUGACAGAGACAAGUAUCUCAGGAGGAAACAGUGGUCUGAGGGUGGAAGCCAUGCUCAGUACCAUUCCAAGAUUUUUCUCUAUAACUUAAAUCUCCAUUUUACAGAUGAUAAAACUGAAACCCCAGAAGUUUGACUUGUCCUAGAUGACAUAGCAAAAAUGGAAGUAGGACUCAGGAAUUGGAUCCAGAGCCUGUGUGUUUAACCACCAUAUUGAAAUUUUUAUAUAAUAGACUCUCCAGCUAGACUGAAGGUAGUGGCAUAGGCUAUAGGCCUUUUGCUUCUCUUUCCCUAGCACUAGCUCAGUGCCUGGAAGGUACUCA